GACAUGAAGGUUUGAGUUGUGGAUAAAUCACUCAGAGAAAAAUAAACUUUUCCCAUAAGGAAAGCUGCCACAUACACUUGUGCAGAAAGUUGUUUGUUUGCUCCCUGCAGUGGUUUUUACAGUAUUACCUAUAUGAUGCAAGAUGACAGAAAGACUUGCCUUAAACAUGCUGUUUAAGCACUUCCUCUUGCUACUCAUAUCCUUUUCUCCCCCUAUAUAAUUCUAAUAUCCUGUGAGUCUAAUCCUGAGGCAUUAGCUUAGCUGCCAUGCAGUUAAUGAAAUAGUGACUUGGGGAAAGCACUGAUAUGUCUGCUCCCUCCCAAAUUCCUACAUCUGUUGUUACAGCCACAGUGAGAACAGCGUUUGGAAACUAGAGGAGCGAGCAUACAAGCUGAAGAUGCCAUGUAGGAGGGGCUCUGGGUCUUGUCCAAAGAUCCCAACAGACUUUUACAGAUGAAUUUUUUUUCCUAACCUGAACAAAUUGGUGUACUGACAGCGAGUGGAGCCCUUCAAGCACGUGUGGCUUCUGCAGCUGUCUGGCCUCUUGCCCCAGCAAGGGCUUGUGCUGGGAGCACGUGCUGCAGCUCUACAGGACUCUGCCUUCCUGCGGGAGCCUCCGCAUCACGCACAACAGGAACAGAAAGCUGUCACUCAGUCACUGGCUGCAGGAACGUGUCUUACUGAGCUGCCUGACUGUGCAGCCAGAAGAGGUUAAACAUUAACCCUGCAAUAAUAUAUAUUUAUCUGCUUCGAGAGCCAAGAGUGUCAAGCCUUCUCUUCACCAUUCAUACACUGAUCUUCCUCAAAGGACACAGACAUGAAGAGAGGACUCUUUUGAACAUCCCUACCUUGCAGGCACCAAGUGACUUCUUAUUUCAUAAACACUUGACUUACUGAGGUGUAAGCAGAGCCAUCAGCAAUUUCACACAAAAAUGAAUUCUCCCCCUAAACUUUGUUCUCACAGGAAAGUUCACCUGGCCUGAUCUGAAGCAGAGACCUGCCUAUAUUUCUGCGACCUUGUUGAUGCUGUGUGCAUCAGGCCACAGAGCCAGACUUUUCUGUGGCUCAGAGGCUCUAGGACUCUUUUGCAGCCACUUGGCUGCCACAGGGGAGCUAGAGGAGGCACACUGGAGAACCACCAGAAUUCAGGAGUCUAACACCAGUCAUGUUUUCCAUCUCAAACUGGAUAUGAUGCUGAAAUACCACACAGAAAAGGAAUUUGCAAGGAACAGGCCUGAGCUGUGUUAAACUGACGGCUUAAAAAGAGAAACGCCACCCAGGAAAACCAGAUGAUGGAAUUUGCCUCCCUUCAAUUAAAAAGUCAUCCUUUCCUGUUGUUCAGUGAGCGCUGGGCUUUCCAAGUUCACCAGUUUUUCCUGGGAUUAAAUGACUCAUGAACCUGAUAGGAAAAUGCACCUGUUUUUAGCCAGAGGUUAAAGCAGCUCUCCAGUUACCGGAGUAAACAAAGGGUUUAUUUCUGUCCUUAGCAGCUACCCUGCAAAGUCCAGGAACACAGGAUGGCUGGCAGGAGCAAUUAUGUUUGAGCCAAAUUUGCUGAAGCCAGCAGAAGGUCUGUGAAGUCCAUGGUAAGAUACUCGCAGAUGCCAGUGGGAUUUGGCCCAUGUCUUUUGCUAGAGGGAAAACAGGAAAGAAAAGUUGGUGCAGUGAUUGUGCUGGCUGCUGAGGACUCCAAGGGGCUGGAAGGUAUCUGCUGUGAUGUGGGACACGUAUUCUCUGGCCCAGAGCUGUCCAUUUGUACUAUUGGCAGAAGCUGUCAGUCACAGAGAUGUGAUGGGUAUACAUGCAUUCAAGACUAUGAGAGUAAUCAGCGAUUGCAGUAAUGGCAUGAAAGUGGCUAAAAUAUUUGGAAAUGAGAGUGUUGGAGGUAUUCGUAUCAUGGAAGCUGAGAGGUUCAGCUAGCUGGGAGUCAUUUAUUAAUCCCAGCAUGAGAAAUGGGAUGUGUUUGAUCUCCACUGCAGAAUGCUGAAAAGUGCAAACACAACACCAGCUUAUUUCAGGUCAGCACUCAAGAUGGUAUAAAGACAAGAUGGAUUUUAGCCUUUGUUUAACUGGAUUUAAUUACAUGCAUGAGCUUCAAAGUGCCUAAGGCCUAAUGGAUGGUGACCUAAGGUCUGAUUGAAAAAGCAACAACAACCUAAACCUUAAGCUUGUUUGUUAGACUGUAUGGCAAGGCUGGACCAUGUGAUGUUCCAGGGAGGGAUGUUAGGAAGAAAGCACCCAUCUCAUCCAAAGCAUUUGCCAAGAUUUACAGCUUUACUCAGAAGAAUCUGAACACCAACCUCACGUGCCCCCCAUACCAGUGUGGCUCAGGAGCUUGAUUGGGACAUAUAGGAGACAGUAUUUCCAACCAUGCCUCCCUGAAAAGUCUCUAGCGCCCUCAGACAGAGCAUGCUGACACUUGGUGAAGAAAAGGAACACUUGAAAUUUUGGUUUGGAAGAUCCAUGUGGCUAGGAAAUUCCAAAUAACCAAAUUUAAGGAAAAGAGGCCAUCAUCAAAGGCUUGUUAUCUUCAUGUAAUUUUGUUUUAAUUAGUGCUAGCAUGUCAGAUAUUGUGACAGUCAUCUGUUUGUAUUUAUGGCUGUGCCUGGUUUCAGAGAAUCCUAUUCUUGGGUCUGAAUAAAAUAUGAAGUCUGUCUGUCUUCUUCAGAUAGCACGAAGUGGUUCUCGAUAAAGUCUUGGAGAGCUACCGCUAGAGAAAUAGAAAUUAUGACUAAAAAUCUGCUCAUGGAACCAAGACCUGCCAAGACAUGGCUAAAUGUAAUUGCUUGUGGCAGCUGUUUAUGGGAAAACUGCAAGUUUUGAAAUUGCUUAAUUGUUUGAUAAGCAGAAAUGCUCAGAAAUCAAAAGGAUACGACUUUAGUAUGCCACUACUUUAAAUGACUGCAGCAUGAUUUUGUCCAUCACAGGAAGUCUGUGCCAUGUUGAUUCACAGCCUGAUCUAGCUCAGAUGAAACAGGCUGGUGUAACAAAUCACCAGCUGGAAUGUUUUGAAUUUCCAGUGCCUGUAUGGUGCUUGGCAUCCACACAGAGCAGCCAGCCCAGGUGCUCCCACUUUGAAGAUGAUCAGCUCCAGACCCUCACUUUCAUCUUGGUCACAUAUCCAGUCAAAAGGACCUUGACGUAACUGGGCCUGUUUCACAUUUAAAAGAUAACUGCUUAAAAGCUGUUUAAAUAAUUUGUGUGUACAUCUAAGAAUCUCAAAGCCUUGGCCAUAUUAAUUAAUUUUUGAAACAACCUCAUGGGGUGGGUGCUAUCCUAAUUUAUCAAGGAGUUCGAUGAGGAAUGGAGAGUUAACAUUUUGCUCUGCGUCAGUUCUGUAUCAGGUAAAGGAAAGCAGCCCUUACCAGCCCCUAUGAACCACCUCAGUGGGCUGACUGACAUCCACCUGCUUUGUCUCUGAACCACACAGCUCAGAAAUGUCAUAUUCGCAUCCUCAACACGUUGCCCCUCCUUGCCUGCUGAGUGCUACGCAGUCACAGCCUGGUAAGGCAAUGUGAUGGGCUGUGCUGGCGCAGUGUUCAGCGGCGUGAGAUUUGUUGGCUCCUGCGUGCAGCAGUGGAUCCAGGUAUGCUUAUGGCAUAGUGCUGGGCUUCCUCCAACACAGGCACAUUUUCUGGCAAGGAGGAGACAUGGGAAAAUACUUAUAUUAAUGUCCAAGGUUUCAGCCCCUCUCACAGUUCCUUUAUAAUGUCUUUUUCUUGUUGUGUGCUUUGCUGAGCUUCCAGAUAGUGGCUUCUGCCUCUGCAUCCCCCAUUCUUGAAAGUCCCUUGUCAAACUUCUCCUUGGGAAAACUGGUAGUUUGUAACACCGAGGCAGAGCGUCCCUGGCGCUGGAGGGUAACCCUGUUACCUGGGAUCCCAGUCUGUGUGCCCAUACCCUUGGUGACUCACCUGGGUUUGCUUUCCCUGCCUGAGCCAGCUCACCACGGGAUCAGUGCUGAUGCAAGAAAUGGAGCAGGAGACCCCAACCAAGGAGAAGGGAGAAGUCACAGAGACCUCAGCCUGGUCCUGUUGAAGGUGUCACAGAACUGCCCCUUAAGACUGAUCCUCCUUAAAGAGUAACCCAGUGUCGGAGUUCCACCGAGAACACCAACACAACAAAUCUGUUUUAAUUUUUUACUAUGGCCUGUCUCUCUCAAAUGCUCCUUUUACAUACAGAUCAUCCAUGGACCACAUGAACUCUGGCAUUCUUCUGCUUUUGCUGUGCUUGAAAAAUCUUAUCGUUCACUUUUGUGUCUUUAACAAGUUGCUUUUCGUUUUUUUUGUACUUUAUUGCAGUUUCACAUCCACUCUGCCAGACUUUGUGUUCUUUUCCAUCUUCCUUAGCUCUCUAUUUUUUUAAGAAUUUAUUUUUACAUCUGAGAAGUUUUACAUGCUCAAUCAUGUUGGCGUACUUUUUCUUUGAAUAUUUUUUAUUUGAUGCUGAGCCUGUUAUCAUCUGAACCUGAACCUUAUGUCAUCUACAAGUGCUUUACUGUUUUUAGCUGCUGACAUCAACAAAUUUCUUCACUUUUAUGUGGUUCCGCUUUUUAAAGGGUUUGAAGCGCUCUCCCUUGCCUGCCCACUUGUGCUCUUCCCUUUGCCUCAGUUAAUGGCACGAUCAGUCAUGCUGGAAAGUUACACCCAACCAGUAUUAGGAAAUGCUCCCUGGUGCCUCGUAAAUCCCUGGUGCCACCAGUAAUAGCUGAGGAGGAGGAGGCAGAGGAGAUGAAGGAGGAAGCAUUCCAACCAUAUGGACUCUCAGGAUUACUAUUUUCCUCUUCAGAAGACUGCCUCUGCAAUGUUUUCUAGCAGCCUUGGUCACACCAGUUUUGACAGGAGAGCGUCUGAAAGUCCAUGUGAAUAUAGGCACAAGCAAAGGAAUGGCACACAAACCCGUGGUGGACAUUAUACCAAAGAAACCAAAUGAAAGAGACAACUGGGUUCAACAAAAGUGUUGGCCCCAAAACUGAUGGAGGGACUACAAAGCAAAACCCAGCGUGCCGCAAGGAACAGCAUGCAGACAGAGCUGGGUGGGAUUUCCCUGGAGGAGACGCCGCUGCCUGAGGAAGAGCCCCGUGAAUCCUGCUCAGGCAAAGUGCUGAUCUUGGUACGAGAAGAAGUGGACAAGCUCCCUGGUCUGCUAUCACCUGUAUAUCUCAACCACAGCUUGGCCAGAACAGCUACAUGAAUUUCAUGGUUGAGCCUGGACUAGGAAACAUUAUCUUUAGAGGUGCAUGCUUAUUUAUCCCACAUGAGACAAUUUCUGGUUUUCUUUCCCAAGGCAGCAUGCAGGGAGGUCGAUUAGUACUGACUGUAACACCACUCACUGUGCUUGGCAGUUAAAGCACAAGCAAUAAAAGCCCUUAGGUACACCCUCCAAAAACAACAAAAAGCCAAGGUCUCCAGGUGAGCUGGUUUUGAUGGAUGGCCUGCUUCUGAAUUUUGAGGCUUCCUGCUGCCCACACUUUUCAGUCCUGUGAACUAGAAACCUCUGCUUUUACUCUUGAGGGUCUUAGGUGUUGCUCUGACUCCCAAGAAGACAGGCUCCCUGGAAAACACCUUAUAUCACAAGAUCUGUGGCACAGACUUUUUAAGCUACUGAAUUGUAAUGCAAAAAAACCCACAGGAGUAAGGUGGGAAAUGUGCAACUCUCCUGCAAUCCUUUGCCAUUUUCUAACAAGCUCUCAUUUUCUCCCUAGUUACCAGAUCACGAAGCAGUUGUCUUCUCAUUUCUGAAAUAUCAGCAAACCCUCCUCUGCAAAACUGAAAAUGUUUUGAAUAAUAAAAUGAAGGGUGAGAGUUUUCAAGCUUGGCUGGGGGAGCAAAACAACUCUUCCCCACUAUGAUGAAAAGAUACUGGAUCUCUACAUCACCUACAUAGCCCUGCUUGGGACAUCGUAGCUAGGAGUUUUCAGUCUGUCACAUGCCAAGAAGUGACAGCAGCAGAGGACCUCUGCUGUAAAUGCUGGCCAUGCACAGAUAGAGAAGGAUUCCCUUCAAAAACAGCGAGCUUCUGAGCUGGUCUUCUGUGCGUGUCUGACUGCAGCUUGUUCAAAUGAAGUCAUUCACCUUAGUUAACAGCUCUGCCCAAGAGACAGCUGUAGGACUGAUCUAUAAUGAGACUUUGUAAUGCAUUGGCAGAAUUGUUUUACUGCAGGUUUGAUUAGGCAGGGAGUACUCACAUCACAGCUUCCCAUUGAAUGAGGUGUUUAUCUCCUGCGUGAGGAUUAGCACAGCGCUGUACCACGAAGUCUGGUAUAGCAGAGUAAGUGGUUUAGUGUAAUCCUCCUGAGAAGGAUUGCUGUCCCGAAGGAAUUCCUGGGAAGGUUCUUUGCCUGUACCAGGGUUUUAGAAGACUUUCAAUUGGGUUUUUGGAGGGCUUUUUGGAGUUUGUGCUGCUUUUCCCUGAUACAGUCUUUCUCCAAGAUGUCUGGGCAGGGGUUGGGUCAGCAAGAAUGAUUACAGAGCUUAGAGACAGUUGGUAUUGCUGUACUGAGAUGCUACUGAGUAAUCAGAUAAUUGAAGUAUGACUGACAAGUGAGCACCCCAGUCAGGCUCCAAGCAGGGUCCUGCCUGGGCAGUUGUGUUCGCUGCUGAUGUCUGGCACAAAUAGAUGUUGAUCCUCAGUGUACUCUUGCUUGCAUUAAAGGCACCUUCAAAAGAGCAAAUCCUGUUUGGCACUGCUCCAGGCGUAAGUGCUGCCACUGCACUGUCCAGGAACUUGGAAAUCUCUUUACUAAUGUUUAAAACAAAAAGCAAACAGAAGUUCCUCAAAGUCACAGCAAUUUACAUCUUAUAUCACAGAAUCAUGGAAUAGUUUGGGUUGGGAUAUCCUCUCUUCUUAUUUUGUUACUAUCCACUUUGUGAAAUUUUUUGGUCUGGGCUAUGUAGGAAAUAUGGUCCCAGUUCACACUUCUCAAGUGCAGAAGGUACCUUUGAAUAAUGUUCACUAAACAAAGUUUUCCAACAGGAAAGCGAGCAGUACCAAGCAGUCUUAAAGUGACAUUUCUAGAUUAAGAAGGUCGUAUGCAAUGACAAAAGUGUAGGGUCCUACGCAACAAAAAAAUAGAAAUUAUAGUACCUGCAAGAGGAGCCUUGAUGGUGAGGGAGAUUUUAAGCAGUCCAGAUAUAAAGCAUAUCCUUGGGGCCUUGGCAAGGAUGCAGACUUCUCUCCCACACAACCUCAGUCACUCUUGAAAAGCCAAAUUCUGGAAUUUUAAAAGACAAAAAUAUUACAGCAAUAGCUACAACAAACAUGAAAAGCAGAUGUUAAAUGAUUGCUAAUGAUCUUAUCAAUGUGUUGUAUAUUUGGGAGGAAGAGGAGGGAGAAAGAAGAAAUCUACAUUCUUCAGAUUUAUUUUUUAAUUAUUCAACAAUUAUUGAUGAGACUAAAGCGAACUAACACUAGGGUUUUGCAGAGAGGUUUCAACUUUAUAAUGGAGAACGCAUUGUGGUGGUUGGAGGAGGAGCACCAAUACAAAUCCCACAAUACAAAGGAAGCCAACAUAAGAAUCAAGUACUAAAACGCUGUGGGAAGAGAGAGAUUUUGCCUGGACGGCCAAUUUUAGCUUUUUUUCCAGAACCCAAAUGCCUGGAAGCACCUACAGCAGUUGCGGUGUAGACUGGGAGGUGUCCCAGCGUGGUACCCAGGGGGUGGUCACACGCCCAGGCUGCACCAGCGAUGCUCCAGUGCAGGUACAUGCACUGUGCUCUGCCAGGGCCAGCAGAGAGGUGACAACCAUGUGAACAUGUUGCUGUGGUUGCAGAUGUUUAGCUCUCUCAUUCAGAAAUAACUCUCACAAUUGGUGCUUCCCCUCUGCCAACGCCACAGCACAGAUUUCACCCAUGUGUGCAACACUCCUUUGGCUGCUGGAGCAAGCUGUGAAAAGCACUGGGCCUGGUCAGUCAUUUAACUGUCGGUCAUUAACUUCGUCCUGCAGCCCAGGUCUUGAUGCAACUGAACUUUGAAGAGAUUUGGCCCUUCUUGUACCAUGGCUUAUUUUGCUAUUAAAAGUAAUUUUAUCUCUAA